rnacentral:rRNA from 1 species
CCCUUUGAUGUUCUGGGCCGCACGCGCGCUACACUGUUCGACGCAGCGAGUCUUAACCUUGACCGAAAGGUUUGGGUAAUCUUCAGCAAAGUCGAACGUGAUGGGGAUCGAUCAUUGCAAUUAUUGAUCGUGAACGAGGAAUUCCUAGUAAGUGCAAGUCAUCAGCUUGCGCUGAUUACGUCCCUGCCCUUUGUACACACCGCCCGUCGCUACUACCGAUUGAAUGGUUUAGUGAGAUCUCUGGAUUGACGCUGGCUAGGGGGCGACCCUUGGCCAGACUGCUCGAGAAACUGCUCAAACUUGAUCAUUUAGAGGAAGUAAAAGUCGUAACA